GAUGAAGAACGCAGCGAAAUGCGAUAAGUAAUGUGAAUUGCAGAAUUCAGUGAAUCAUCGAAUCUUUGAACGCACAUUGCGCCCGCCAGCAUUCUGGCGGGCAUGCCUGUUCGAGCGUCAUUUCAACCCUCAAGCUCUGCUUGGUGUUGGGGCCCUACGUCUGACGUAGGCCCUCAAAGACAGUGGCGGACCCUCUCGGAGCCUCCUUUGCGUAGUAACUAACGUCUCGCACUGGGAUUCGGAGGGAAUCUUGCCGUAAAACCCCCAAUUUUACAGGUUGACCUCGGAUCAGGUAGGAAUACCCGCUGAACUUAAGCAUAUCAAUAAGCGGAGGA
rnacentral:misc_RNA from 1 species